AACCACCACGGCCUCACCCGUCUUCUCCAGCCAUACCGGAACCACUAUGCACCACCGUUCGCCCUCACCUUCGUCGCCGAUCUCCGACAUCAGGUCUUAAGUUGUGGUUAGCCUUUUAAGGAUUACCUGUUGAAAAUGGUAAUGUUAUCGUUUUUGUAUUGUUGAUUUUAUGCACGAUCUACCUUUGCUUAUUUCAGGUUUUUAAGCUUUAUUUAUAUUUAUCUACGUAUUUCAUUUUUACUAACGUUGUUUAAUGUAUAAACCAAAAUGAUUCCAAGAGGAGCCUCUGGUAAGCGUCCAAGAGUGUUUAGUACCUAUGAAAUUGGUGAAUCAUCACAUAGCAGUCGUUUGCGUAGGGUAUCAAGAAUGUUAGAGCCAGUGACAGGUGGUCGCCACGCGUCAUCUCAGGAAGAACGCACCCCGCUUCCUACAUAUUUCGACUGCGGUGACUGUGUUUGUGUGUGUGAAUAUUGUAGUGCUAUGUUCUGGUUUGCUGAAAGGGUUGUUUACGCUUCACGGUCAAAUCAUCCAAGAUGUUGACGAAAGUAUAAACGACGGACGUGGCCCCUAUGUUUUUAAGGUUUCUGGUCAGAUUUCACAUUGGAUUGGCUCUUUAUGCCCUUCGCCAAAUGAAAAGCCACGGUUUUUGCAAAUGUAUGUUUACGAUACACAAAAUGAGAUAGCAAAUAGACUUAGAUUUUUCGCUGAAACAGAUCGAAACGGCCUUUCACCUGCUAUUGUAAGUAGCCUUAGUGACACUUUGAA